UACGGGGGGGGCAAGCGUUGUUCGGAAUUACUGGGCGUAAAGGGCGCGUAGGCGGCCUUCUAAGUCGGACGUGAAAUCCCUCGGCUUAACCGAGGAACUGCGUCCGAUACUGAAAGGCUUGAAUCCGGGAGAGGGAUGUGGAAUUCCAGGUGUAGCGGUGAAAUGCGUAGAUAUCUGGAGGAACACCGGUGGCGAAGGCGGCAUCCUGGACCGGCAUUGACGCUGAGGCGCGAAGGCCAGGGGAGCAAACGGG
rnacentral:rRNA from 1 species